CGUUGAAACAGCGAUUCCCGUACGAUCACCGAAGUUAAGUAAUGUCGAGCCUGGUCAGUACCUAAAUGGGUGACCACUUGGGAAUACCA